rnacentral:lncRNA from 1 species
AUGGUCAGGUUCUGUAGGCUGGGAGGAUUGCUUGCUUCUCUUCUACCUGUUGGUCUUAAAUUUGUACCUGUUUUAUCAGUUGAGGGAGAUGACUGGGUCAUGUCAAUGGCUGUUAACAGAAUGAAGUUUUUUAAUCCACAGAUCUUCAGGCUCAUCCUCCCUACAGCCCACAACCUGGAGCUGUAUGAGAACUGGCUGCUGUCAGGGAAACAGGGAGACAUCUUUCUGGAUGACCGGGUAUCAGAUUGCCAAUGCCUUGGGCUCAAGCAGGGCUAUACUUCCGUCAUUCCCUCAGGCUGGAUUCACGCUGUGUAUACGCCUGGAGACACAUUGGUGUUUGGAGGCAAUUUUUUGCAUAGCUUCAAUAUCCCCAUGCAGUUAAAAAUAUACAGCAUUGAAGAUCGAACACGGGUUCCUAAUAAGUUCCACUAUCCAUUCUACUAUGAGAUGUGUUGGUACGUGUUGGAGCGCUAUGUGUACUGCAUAACCAACCGCUCUCACCUACUAAGGAAUUUCAGAAAGAGUCCCUUAGUAUGGAUUUGGAGUUAAAUGGGUUGGAGUCUGGAAACGGGGACGAGGAACAGUAGACCGAGAGCCCCAGCGCUUGGGCAGCAGACGUUCUGUCCUCACCAGCCCUGCGGCCAGUGGGGUCAGCCUGGAUUAUGAUGCACUGGGCAAAACCUGCCGAAGUCUUCCAAGUCUGAAGAGAACUUUGUCUGGGGACUCAUCCUCUGACUCUAGCCAGGGUUCCCAGAAUGGCCAAGUGUGGGAUUCCCAGUGUAGCCCCCGAAAGGACAGACAGGUGCACCUGACCCAUUUUGAGCUUGAAGGCCUCUGUUGCCUUGUAGAUAAAUUGGAAUCUCUGCCACUGCACAAGAAAUGCAUCCCUACAGGGAUAGAAGAAGAAGACGCUCUCACUGCUGAUGCGAAGGUAAGCAUUCGUUGUGUUGCAUAAUGGCUGCUAAUCUGGCUAGGACAGUCAGUUUUUGGAUUCUGAGAGAAAAUUCGGGAGUUUCGGGUGAUCUUGGUUCAACCAGAAAGAAGAGUGUGUGUGUAUUUGGGCUGUACAGUGUUUCAGUUCCUAGAAUGAGGUUAGGUCCCUAUUAGGAAAAUGCGAACAUUUGUAUGUUCAGUGAGGAUUUAAAUCUAAUCUUAAAAAUGCAGAUUACAGGCUGACCCUAGAAAAAGGGUGAGCCUGAGAAAAAUGUUUAUAUUAAGAAAUGUUACUUAGAACUUGUUACACUCUGAUAAAGAGGCCUAUUUCAGAACAAAAAUGGCCAGUAAAAUCUCUAGCAGUCUUAUCCCAAGCACAUUUGUUGUUGUUGUUGUUCAGUUGCUAAGUUGUGUUCAACUCUUUACAACCCCAUGGGCUGCAGCAUGCCAGACUCCCCUGUCCUUCACUGCCUCCUGGAGUUUGCUCAAGCUCAUGUCCAUUGAGUCGGUGAUGCCAUCCAACCAUUUCAUCCUCUGUCACCCCCUUCUAACUCUUGCCCUCAAAACUCCAAUACUUUGGCUACCUAAUGCAAAGAGCUGACUCAUUUUAAAAGACCCUGAUGCUGGGAAAGAUUGAAGGCAGGAGGAGAAGGGGAUGACAGAGGAUGAGAUGGUUGGAUGGCAUCACCGACUCAAUGGACAUGCAUUUGGGUAAACUCCAGGAGUUGGCGAUCGACAGGGAGGCCUGGCGUGCUGCAGUCCAUGGGGUUGCAAAGAGUCGGACACUACUGAGUGACUGAACUGAACUGAGCUUCAAAUUUAUCUACAUUAAGACUUAAAUACAUUGGGGCAAUUUCUGAGAAAAGUGUCAUUUUAAAUGUAAUUCAUCUUACUGCCAAAUUGAGUUUCUUCACGUUGUAUAUUUUUUUCUUCUUUCUCAGUAAGUCUCCCAGCAUUCAGUUCAGUUCAGUUCAGGCACUCAGUCGUGUUUGGCUCUUUGCGACCCCAUGGACUUGCAGCACACCAGGCCUCCCUGUCCAUCACCAACUCCCUGAGCUUACUCAAACUCAUGUCCAUUGAGUUGUGAUGCCGUCCAACCAUCUCAUCCUCUGUCAUCCCCUACUCCUCCCACCUUCAAUCUUUUCCAGCAUCACGGUCUUUCUCAAAUGAGUCAGUUCUUCACAUCCGGUGGCCAAAGUAUUGGAGUCUCAGCUUCAGCAUCAGUCCUUCCAAUGAAUAUUCAGGUCUGAUUUCCUUUAGAAUGGACUGGUUGGGUCUCCUUGGUGUCCAGGGGACUCUCAAGAGUCUUCUCCAACACCACAGUUCAAAAGCAUCAAUUAUUCAGCACUCAGCUUUCUUUAUAGUCCAACUCUCACAUCCGUACAUGACUACUGGAAAAACCAUAGCCUUGACUAGACGGACCUUUGUUGGCAAAGUAAUAUGUCUGCUUUUUAAUGCUUAGUAAUCUUAAAAGCCCAACCCACUCCUCAUAUAUUGGUCUCAAAGAAUUGAAUUUAUUUUUAGGGAAUCCAGAUUUGAACUGUCUGAACUGGAAAGAGUUCGAGUAAAUCUUUCCUCAUAUAUCUCAUAUGAAACCACUGGGGACUACCCCAGAGGUCCAGUAGUUUAGACUGAGCUUCCGCUGCAGGAGACAUGGGUUCAGUCCCUGGUCAGAGAACUAAGAUCCCACAUGCCACCCGGUGUAGCUAAAAAAAAAAACGUAACCGUUAAUACAAACACAAACAAGUCUUUAAAUCACUGUUUGGAAUUAUGUCUUCAGAGCAGCGCAUGGGUAUGUGUAUUAGAAAGCUGGUUAACCGUUUGUAACGUGUUAUUUUUAAAACCUUUUGUAUAGAUUGUUUUAAGCCACAGAAGAAUUUAUAAGGAAUAAUUUUAUGUGACCUUAAGGACCUUGGUUAAUUCACUUGAACUUUCUGAGUCUCAGUACCUUUGUUUAUUGAGGCUAUUUCCCAGAAUUAU